rnacentral:rRNA from 1 species
GAAGUUAAACGGCCGCGGUAUCCUGACCGUGCAAAGGUAGCAUAAUCACUUGUUCCUUAAUUAGGGACUAGAAUGAAUGGCUAAACGAGGGUUCUACUGUCUCUUAUUCUCAAUCAGUGAAAUUGACCUUCCAGUGAAGAGGCUGGAAUAAUAAAAUAAGACGAGAAGACCCUAUGGAGCUUAAAUUAACUAGCUUAACUAUUAAAAUAUUACCCAAAUGGACUAAACAUAAAAAAAUAAGCUAGCAAUUUCGGUUGGGGUGACCUCGGAGAAUAAAUUAUCCUCCGAAUGAUUAUAACAUAGACUAACAAGUCAAAGUAACAAUUAAAAUCUUAUUGAUCCAAUUCUCUUGAUCAACGGACCAAGUUACCCUAGGGAUAACAGCGCAAUCCUAUUUAAGAGUUCAUAUCGACAAUAAGGGUUUACGACCUCGAUGUUGGAUCAGGACAUCCCAA